rnacentral:piRNA from 1 species
AUCUCAGGCCAAGGAUGUCAUCGAAGA